UCGCGUUUUUCGACAGCCAAUCGAUUUCUUGAUAAACACUAUGGUGAUGAUUGUGCUUUUUUGUAUGUCUGACUGAAACUGUUUUUUUCGCAUAUUGUAUCAAAGUUCUCUUCUGCGUUUUAUUCUUUCCAUUUCGUUGUGUAUGAAAGGUACGGACCGUUUGAUAAGAAUUUAGUUGAAUUUGGUCAGUACUGGUGAAUAAGAGUUCUUGGUGAUUUUUCCGUCCGUUCGAAGAAAGUUAAGAAAACUGAAAUCAUGCAUUACAACCGAUGGCUUGGAUACUAUAAAUGCCGAUUCUGUAAUGCACCAGAAUUCAAAACGGUGAACUUCCAGCCACAUGUACCGAGACCCUGUAUGCGAUGCUACCGAUAUAUUUGCCCAUAUCCGGAUCAGUUCUUCCGUGAUGGUGAACCACUUCCUCAAAGAUAUUUUUGAUGGUCAGAUUCUGUCAGCAUCCGUCGUUUUUACAACUCGAUGACAAAUAAGAUGCAAAAUCCCUGUUCAUUCAAAGAGACGCAUUGAAUAAAAGCUAUCCAAAAAAAUCUUUUGGAAAAACGCCAGCGAAAAUUCAAGUGUUUUCGUUGAAGUUUUUACAUUUUUAUCACAUGAAUACAAGCUAUAAAUACUUUUUAGGUGAAAUUCGAGUAAGUAUUUGAAUUCCAUUAGGAAUGUGGGUCUAAGAAUAGAAGAAGUGAUUUUUGCUAUCAAAAUUGUGAAUAUUUCUUGCUCGUUUUGUUUUGAUUCACAACCGAUGAAUCAUAAACACGUGAUAAAAAAGUAUAUUCUCUUAAAUCGAUUUCUGCUACGGAGUUGAUUACACUUUGGCGGUAAUUGCACGAAUUGAUUUAAAAUAAACAGUUAUAUUAUAAACAGAGUCUCCCAAAUAUGAUCUAUCAACAGUCAACACUUUGGAACAAAUAGAAAACAUGUUUUUAACUCGCAUCCACCGAAGUGAAAACAAUUCGUUGCUAUCAUCGCUACAAAAUUGAAUCAUUGCUAUAUUUUCAUUCGAUUCGAUUGGCAGUACGAAAUUCCUUUUAUUUUUCUUUUGAUUUGCUUCGAGUUAAUACAGUUUCUUGGUGAAAUAAAGAGCGACAGAAAUUCCAUCCGCCUUGAAACAUGUUAAACCGGUGGCAUGCAUUCUACACGUGUAGAUGUUGCAACGAGCAAUAUGAAUCGAUAAACAUCUAAUAAUUCCAGAAUCGUGUCUGCCCCAAUAAAUGUAGUGCCAUCAAUUUUC